rnacentral:tRNA from 18 species
GCCGGGAUAGCUCAGUUGGUAGAGCAGAGGACUGAAAAUCCUCGU